GACUCCUUCGGGGAUCAUCCGGUACAAUUUUGGAAGAUAUAGGAAAUGAGCAUGGCCCCUGCGGAAGGAUGACACGGACAGAUCGAGAAGUGCACCCAAACAUC
rnacentral:snRNA from 1 species